rnacentral:rRNA from 1 species
UGGGGAAUUUUGGACAAUGGGCGAAAGCCUGAUCCAGCAAUGCCGCGUGUGUGAAGAAGGCCUUCGGGUUGUAAAGCACUUUUGUCCGGAAAGAAAUCCUUGGCUCUAAUACAGUCGGGGGAUGACGGUACCGGAAGAAUAAGCACCGGCUAACUACGUGCCAGCAGCCGCGGUAAUACGUAGGGUGCAAGCGUUAAUCGGAAUUACUGGGCGUAAAGCGUGCGCAGGCGGUUUGCUAAGACCGAUGUGAAAUCCCCGGGCUCAACCUGGGAACUGCAUUGGUGACUGGCAGGCUAGAGUAUGGCAGAGGGGGGUAGAAUUCCACGUGUAGCAGUGAAAUGCGUAGAGAUGUGGAGGAAUACCGAUGGCGAAGGCAGCCCCCUGGGCCAAUACUGACGCUCAUGCACGAAAGCGUGGGGAGCAAACAGGAUUAGAUACCCCGGUAGUCCACGCCCUAAACGAUGUCAACUAGUUGUUGGGGGAUUCAUUUCCUUAGUAACGUAGCUAACGCGUGAAGUUGACCGCCUGGGGAGUACGGUCGCAAGAUUAAAACUCAAAUGAAUUGACGGGGUCAUAGCUGUUUCCU